GUAGGUGGCAAGCGUUGUCCGGAAUUAUUGGGCGUAAAGCGCGCGCAGGCGGGUUCUUUAAGUCUGAUGUGAAAGCCCACGGGCUCAACCGUGGAGGGUCAUUGGAAACUGGAGAACUUGAGUACAGAAGAGGAAAGCGGAAUUCCACGUGUAGCGGUGAAAUGCGUAGAGAUGUGGAGGAACACCAGUGGCGAAGGCGGCUUUCUGGUCCGUAACUGACGCUGGGGCGCGAAAGCGUGGGGAGCAAACAGGAUUAGAUACCCUGGUAGUCCACGCCGUAAACGAUGAGUGCUAAGUGUUAGGGGGUUUCCGCCCCUUAGUGCUGCAGCUAACGCAUUAAGCACUCCGCCUGGGGAGUACGGCCGCAAAGGCUG
rnacentral:rRNA from 1 species